GACGAACGCUGGCGGCGUGCCUUAUACAUGCAAGUCGAACGAGAAAGCGUCUUUCGGGAUGCGAGUAAAGUGGCGAACGGGUGAGUAACACGUAGGUAACCUACCUGUGAGAUGGGGAUAACCUGCCUAACGGCGGGCUAAUACCGAAUGAAGCACUGGGAGUAGAUUUCAGUGUUAAAGAUAUCCGUAAGGUUAUCGUUCACAGAUGGGCCUGCGGCUCAUUAGCUAGUUGGUGGGGUAACGGCUCACCAAGGCGACGAUGGGUAGCCGGCCUGAGAGGGUGGUCGGCCACACUGGGACUGAGAUACGGCCCAGACUCCUACGGGAGGCAGCAGUAGGGAAUAUUGCGCAAUGGUCGCAAGACUGACGCAGCAACGCCGCGUGGAUGAUGAAGCUCUAUGGAGUGUAAAGUCCUGUUAGAAGGGAAGAAUAGUACGGAGUAAAAGCUUCGUAAUUGACGGUACCUUCAGAGAAAGCCCCGGCUAACUCCGUGCCAGCAGCCGCGGUAAUACGGGGGGGGGCAAGCGUUGUCCGGAAUUACUGGGCGUAAAGGGCGCGUAGGUGGAAGUGUAAGUUAGGGGUGAAAGCUAGCAGCUUAACUGCUGGUCUGCCUUUAAUACUGCAUUUCUUGAGUGCGAAAGAGGGAAGCGGAAUUCUUGGUGUAGCGGUGAAAUGCGUAGAUAUCAAGAAGAACACCGGUAGCGUAGGCGGCUUCCUGGUUCGUAACUGACGCUGAGGCGCGAAAGUGUGGGGAGCAAACAGGAUUAGAUACCCUGGUAGUCCACACCGUAAACGAUGGAUACUAGGUGUUGGGUUUAAAGACUCAGUGCCGAAGUUAACGCAUUAAGCAUUCCGCCUGGGGAGUACGGUCGCAAGA
rnacentral:rRNA from 1 species